rnacentral:lncRNA from 1 species
CUUUAUAAUCGUUUGUAAUGAUGUUGCUGUCAGCCCUUCUCAGAAAAAGUAUUUUUCACAAAAAGUAAAAGCCAGAUUCUGCUGCAAAGCAAACAGUGGUUGUCAGUGGCUAUGCCUUCAUUUAAGAAUAGAUAAUUCUGCCGGUGCCAGACUACAGCUACAGAGGGACAGAUGGAUUAGCAGGGUACACACAUAAAAUAUAAAAGUAGCAUGGAAGCCCAACAUAUCAAAUUGUACAUCCCUGCUCUCAAGCCCCCAGAGAUAUGGAAAGGUCUUCCACUGCCAUAACAUUUUGUGGGCCUGGAGUCAUGUAGAGACCUAGUGGCAGCCAGGGGAAUCCCAGACCCUGGAAGUAGGAGAGAGAAUCUGAUCCUGGGCACGUCAACACUGAAGAAAAAAAGAAAACAUGAAAUGUUGGAAAAUGCAGACAGUUUCUCCUUACACAGGUCAUCAAUUGCUAUGAGUCAGAAGAGGAAAAUGGAAUUCAGGAUGCUGGGCAAACAUUAAUAUUACUCACAAAUGAGCUGUAAAUUUCCCUGUUAAAAAGGUAACAAGAAGUUUAUAUGAGAUGUUUGAAUGGCACAAUAUUAUUCAGGAACUGCUUGCAAUUGAAUGUGGCACCUAUGAUAACAUAAGUUCAUGCAUUGUACAAAAGCAAGGGGAAGUACCAGUAAAGUACUAUAUAAUACUUAUUAUGAAACAGCAAGUUAAAUAACAAAUUCUGGAAACAAAUAAAACUUUGUUUAGUAUUGCUA